GACGAACGCUGGCGGCGUGCCUAAUACAUGCAAGUCGAGCGGAUCUUCCCCUUCGGGGGAAGGUUAGCGGCGGACGGGUGAGUAACACGUAGGCAACCUGCCCACAAGACCGGGAUAACAUUCGGAAACGAAUGCUAAGACCGGAUACGCAAGCCUGAGGCAUCUCGGGCUUGGGAAACACGGCGCAAGCUGUGGCUUGUGGAUGGGCCUGCGGCGCAUUAGCUAGUUGGUGGGGUAACGGCUCACCAAGGCGACGAUGCGUAGCCGACCUGAGAGGGUGAACGGCCACACUGGGACUGAGACACGGCCCAGACUCCUACGGGAGGCAGCAGUAGGGAAUCUUCCACAAUGGGCGCAAGCCUGAUGGAGCAACGCCGCGUGAGUGAGGAAGGCCUUCGGGUCGUAAAGCUCUGUUGCCAGGGAAGAAUAAGAGCCAGUUAACUGCUGGUUCGAUGACGGUACCUGAGAAGAAAGCCCCGGCUAACUACGUGCCAGCAGCCGCCGUAACAC
rnacentral:rRNA from 1 species